AGGGACAAUCCCCUGCUUGACAGGCCUUAGAUUGCUGACAGGUGGUGAUGAAAACGAAUGCAUCUUGUUGGGACGAGCAUUUCUUCAGCCCUGGGGUCCUGCGACUCCUGGGCCAGGAAGCUAAGCUGCUUGGUGGUGGGAUGGACACUGCCUUCUCCAGGUCGCUAAGGACAGCCAGGUGAUGAGUGACCUAAACAACAUUCAAUGCAUCCUGCGGAGUUCCGAUUGUAAGGAGGGUGUCUGUCUGUUUUCCCGGUUUCUAGUUCGUUCUUGUACCACAUCCUCCUUCCUUCUCAGGUGAUGGCCCGGCCAAGUUCCCAUGCCUGCAGGCUUGGCACUAGGUCCAGAAGUCUAGCCCCAGCGUGGUUUGCUGUCGCCGUCCAAAGGGUCUAAUGUCUAUAAAUUCUUACAACUCCUCUUGUUAAUCACCCACAACCCUUGUGCUUCUCUGAUCCACGUUUGAUCUAGCAGAUGGCACCUGGGGAACCAUGCAGGUUCCAUGGUCAUGCCUUGCGUAAGAGUUCACAUGCAAAUGAAUAUGGGAACUGAAGGAGUUCCAUGUCAUAAAUUCAAUAUACUACAUACAUACAUACAUACAAACAUAUGAAUACCAAGAAGUCUGAUAGGAGAAAACCUCCUGCUAUCUUGAAAUCCCCAGAGGAGCAAGAUACCUGGCUGGCCAUCUGGAAAGAAAAUAAUUCAAAGAAGUUCAAUUCCUUCACACUUGUUAAUCUUUCUCCCUCCUCCUUCUCCUUGGACAUAACCCCCUGCCCCCCGCUCCCCCCUCGCCGGCCCAAUGCUAGGGGCUGCUUCAACAUUUCCAGAGCCCAAGUGUGGAAACAUGAAGUGUCCCUUUAUGACUGACCUCCAAUAAAGGCUUCUUUUGCAAUGGUAA